rnacentral:rRNA from 1 species
UACGGGGGGGCAAGCGUUGUUCGGAAUUACUGGGCGUAAAGGGCUCGUAGGUGGCCAACUAAGUCAGACGUGAAAUCCCUCGGCUUAACCGGGGAACUGCAUCUGAUACUGGAUGGCUUGAGUUUGGGAGAGGGAUGCGGAAUUCCAGGUGUAGCGGUGAAAUGCGUAGAUAUCGGGAAGAACACCGGUGGCGAAGGCGACUACCUGGCCUGUUCUUGACGCUGAGGCGCGAAAGCUAGGGGAGCAAACAGG